rnacentral:rRNA from 1 species
GUUAUAUAAGUUGUUUAAAAAUAUGUUUGUGUAUUAACGAUGUAAGAAAAUCAAUUUAAUUUUAAUUAAAUCAAUAAAGUAAUUGUUAGUGAAAUUUUACUUGUAUACGAUAGUUUAAAAAGUACUGUAAAGGAAGCAGGAUUUUUAAAUAUGAAUUAUUAUAGUAGAUAUAAAUAAUUGUACCUUGUGUAUUAGGGGAAAUUAAAUUUUAUUAAAAAUUUUAAUAAUCCCGAAAUAAAAAUAGCUAAUUUUAUAAAAAGUUCUCGUAAUAAAGAGAUUUUUAAUGUAAAGUUAAAGGUGAAAUGCUAUUCGAGUUUUAUUAUAUCUGGUUUUUUGAAAAAUAAAUUUAAUUUAGGCUUUAAAUUGAUAAUAUAUUUAAAAGUUAAAAGCAGAAGGGAUUAUCUUUUUGUUUAUAAAUGGAUUAGUAAUUAGAUAAAAAAAAAGAAUUUUUCUAGGCUUGAAAGUGGCUGUGAAUAAUAGAGUGUUUUAACAAAAAUUUAAUAAAAAUAGUUUUUAUUUAAUUCUAAUGAAAUAUUCAAAAGUUGAUUUAAAUUUGGUAAGUAAAGUGAUUAUGAUUUUAUUAGUAUAAAAAAAUUUUAAAAUGUGAGAUAAAAGAUUUAAAUAGUUAAUUAAAUUUUAAAAAAUAAAGAUAUAAAAAAGGAACUCGGCAAAUUUAAUCUUUGCCUGUUUAUCAAAAACAUGUCUAUUUGAAGGUAAAAAUAGUCUAGCCUGCUCACUGAUGAGAUUAAAGAGCCGCGGUAUAUUGACCGUGCAAAGGUAGCAUAAUCAUUAGUUUUUUAAUUGAGAACUUGUAUGAAUGGUUGGACAAAGGAAAAGCUGUCUGUGUUUUAUAAAUAUUGAAUUUAACUUUUAAGUGAAAAGGCUUAAAUAAUUUAAAAAGACGAUAAGACCCUAUAAAACUUUAUAUAAAUUUAAAUUUAAUUGAAUUUUAAAAAUUUAAUUUAAUGUAAUAUUUUAUUGGGGCGAUAAAGGUAUAAGUUUAUAUUAACUGCUUUAAAUAAAAACAAUAAUAUUUGGAUAUUAUAAAUGAUCCUUUUAUAAAGAAUGAAAGACUAAGUUACUUUAGGGAUAACAGCGUAAUUUCUUUUGAGAGCCCGUAUCGAAAAAGAAGAUUGCGACCUCGAUGUUGAAUUAAAAUGUCUAUUAUAGGGCAGCUCCUAAAUAAGAAGAUCUGUUCGAUCUUUAAAUUUUUACAUGAUUUGAGUUCAAACCGGCGUGAGCCAGGUUGGUUUCUAUCUUUUAAUUAAAAAAAAAUUAUUUUAGUACGAAAGGAUUAAAUAAUUUUAAAAUUUGAUUUAAAUGGAAUGCUGUAAUGGCAGAGGUGUGUAUGCACUAGAUUUAGGUUCUAGAAACAUAGGGG